CUACAUUCCUUGGGAUGAGUGGCUGGAAAGCUGCUUGGUGGAAGAGGACCUGACUUAUAUAAGAAAUAGUGUGGACAGCAAGAAUAGGGAAGUGACUGCUCCUCUGUACUUGGCACUGCCUCUACCAUGAUCGAUUUUUUACUGGAGUGUGGGUUUGAACAGGAAUUUUAAAUAUGUGGGAAGACCCUUUUCACCCUCAAACAGUCUGAUACUGCCAUCCUUCCUGCAGAGGCAAAAUCAUUGUAUCCUCGUCAGCUCCACUGUCUGCAAGAGAGAAGGAAAGCUAUUUCAAUGUAUAGCAUGCAUUUGACAGAUGACUGAAUGAAAAGGUUGAAGGUAAUGUGUGAUAUGAAUUGUAUUGCAGUGGCCCUGAGAACAUACCAAAGAAAGGCUGAAAUUAACAAAGUAUAUUAGAACCUGCACAAGGUGUUUUCUCUUAUUAAUCACGUUUUUUAAUAAGUCUAUUGAAGCAGAGAACUGAAGGAAUUAUGAAGUCAAAGCCAGCAUCACUCCACUGUCUGCUUUUACCACUUCAGUUCCACAGGACUGAGAUUUGUAUUGCUGCUUCUGUAAAUUGCAGGUCACGCUUCUAGCUAGUGUGAGAUGGGGUGGUGGUGUUGGUGUUGAAACACACAGGAAUUAAUACAGAAUGCCACAGACUAUUGAGAGGAUUGGAGGGCAUGACAGCAUCUAAACCUGUGUUUACUUCUGCAAUGUACAGUACAUUAAUGCAUUUAAUUGGAAUAUUAUGAAGCUUAUGGCAAUUAGUAAGCCUCCUUGAGAAACCUGGAUGCAAUACACCAUAGAAUGAUGUAACAAUGAUCUCUUUACUUGAUUAAAAAGUGAUUACUUUUACAGGAGUUUAAUUGUACAUGAAAACCUUAUAGCCAGUGCCAGCAGAGAUCAUUGCCCAGAGAUCUUGCUGUUUUAUAAACCAACAAUUCAAAUGCUGUAUUGAUAAGCCAAAUUUAUAUUAAUCAGAUGUGUAGUCAAGGACUUAAAAUAUCCUUAGUCAUGUGUAAAUUAAUACUUUUAAAAGAAACAUUGUGUUCUAAGAACUAUUAAUCUUUUUAGUAUCUUUUUUCUAGUUGGAAGGGGAAAGGUAAUGCAUACAACUGGAAUUUCCAACUGAAAUUUUGAAAUCGAGGUUCUGCGUGUGAUAUGGAACCUGAACCAGUCAUCUCUCCAUGCACACCUACCAGACACGCCAAAAACUCACAACAAAACAACAAAAAAAGAUCCACCCUCCCAAAACAUCCCAAACCAACCAACCAAAAAACCAACCACAACUAAAAAAUAACCCAGACUGCUUUGCUCGUCAAUUUUUUUAACACCAUGGCUUCCAUUGAACUGCCUGCUGUGAUGGGAUUGUGGCCUUUAGGGGAGCAUAUCACUGAUUGGUACAAUUUUAUAACAAAUAGACAUGCUUCUUGAAUGGCAUUUGUUGGAGGUGUUCCAGGCACUUUAUAGAACUACAGAAGUAGACAAUUCUGUGGUCACUGACACUUUCAUUACUUGCUUUUUGCCAUGUAUCUGGUUUUCAUCCUUAAAUUUUUGUCUGCAUUCAGUGUGUCAUCCUUAAAGCAAAAAGCCUGGAAAAACUUAUCAGGAAGAGCUGUUCUUGCUCCUCACAUGUUGAGAUUUUUUUUCUCAGUGGAUACUACUGCUUCUUAGCCUCUUGUAUAUUUAUCCAAGUCUUCACAGAACUCACUUCUGAUUUAUUGUUCUUCCUGGAAAGACAGAGGGAUUUUCUGUCCUCUUGAUGCUUGACUUCUAGUACCUUUACGGUUGAGGUUAAGGAAAAAGUGUACCUUCUCCUGCAAUCAAAAUGCUGUACUGUUGCCUUGGGGGAAUAAUUAGUUGAUAUUCUCCAAUACCUUUUCCUGCAACAAUGUAUGUGCACGGAAUACAUGUGUCUGAUGAUCUGGUUGUUGAGGUACAGCCACACCUGUAGCACAUUUGGGAGUGAUACAGAGGUCUCAUCUCCAGCCAAUCCGGAAUCAUAGUCCAAGUGACUGGAUCCUGUUUACAGUGCCAUGGACUGAGACAACCUUUGGCACAAGUUUGGACAGAAUUCUGGAGUCAUGCUUUUUAACUAUGUCUUUUGCAAUCCCACCACCUGACCUGACACCCUGGUCAUGGAGUGCUCAUUGCAUGUUGUCUAUGCAGUUUGGGGUAAUUUGACUCUUAUUUCUUCCACAACCAUUCUCGAAGCCACAAGUCUGUGGGCUACUUUAUUUCCCUGUUGUGACAGUGUUAGGCACACAAGUCAUCAGGUUUAACUAGUGAGGGCUUCCAGUGGUGACCUGUUUGAGUAGGCCUUGAACUGCUCCAUGCUGGUCACCACUGCUGCCAGCCAGCUCUGAGGCAGCUGGAACCAACCGUGGCAACCCAUCAUGGGUCACAACCUCAGCCAGAGUGCAUGGUAUCCCUGCUUAAGCAUAUUUAAACAAGAAAUAUUUCUUAAUGAAGAAACUGCUUGUGCCACCUAGACCUCCUGUGCUGCGCAUCACCUCAAGGGGUAAUUCUGACUGACUAUAACUCACUGAAAAUAAGGCAAGCUGAGACUGGGGAAUGGACAGAAAAAUGUUUUAUGUAAAGAAAAAAAACCCACCAUCACAUUAUGUUUGUGUAUCUGUGUGCUUUUUCUCAAUGCACAAAUUAGUGUUCAGAAAUGUAUUAUUUAGUAACAAAUGAAAUAAAUUCCUUGACUUGAGUGUUUUUUCUGGUGAUAGGCAGAAAGGUUAAAGCUGGUAAACUUGUUUUAAAAGCAUGCUCCCAGAUCACAAACCUCUGAAAAUGAGUGUUGGAUGCUUAGAGGAGCUUUAUGAGCAUGCUUUUGUUAAACAGCUACUCUGAUCUUGCUUAUUCAGUCUUUAAAUUAAUGUGUAAAAGAUGCCCAUAAGCAACCAGCAGCUGAAUUGACUGUUAUUAGAUGGAUUAUUACUAUUACUCAGCCUAACAAGUUGCUAUAUGUUUUGUGUACUCAAGCAAAUUUUGCUGUGCAGGCAAGUGGAAUGAUACACACAUGGGCUAACAUAAAAUCCCUCAAAAUAUCCCAGGAUUAGA